rnacentral:rRNA from 1 species
UACGUAGGGUCCGAGCGUUGUCCGGAAUUACUGGGCGUAAAGAGCUCGUAGGUGGUUUGUCGCGUUGUCCGUGAAAACUCACAGCUCAACUGUGGGCGUGCGGGCGAUACGGGCAGACUAGAGUUCGGUAGGGGAGACUGGAAUUCCUGGUGUAGCGGUGAAAUGCGCAGAUAUCAGGAGGAACACCGAUGGCGAAGGCAGGUCUCUGGGCUGACACUGACGCUCAUGCACGAAAGCGUGGGAGCAAACAGG